AUUGGAGCUUUAUAAGAGUCAGCAAAAUUCUCACUCGCCUAAGUUAUCUUGGUCAGCUCAUCUUUUUGCGGGUAAUUUGCAAUUGGCAUUGUCAUCAUUUGUGGAAUUUCGAUAUUUGGUUCGUCAGAAAGAUCGUCCCCCAUGGCAUGACUUGGAGCCUUUAGCAUCAGAUUCAUUGCAACAUUUUGAUUUAUCCACUCGACGGGGUCGAGUUUUUCUCCCACCCCGGGAAAGUUGAUGCGGACAUCCAUUUACUAUUUAUUUUCUUCCAUUUACUAUUUAUUUUCUAUUUGGACUAUUAGUUAUAUUUUAUUUGGAUUAUUAUUUAUAUUUCUAUUAUUGAGCUUGUUUAGCGGGUUUGGCCCAAGCCCUUCUCUUUAGGGUUUUUGUUUUGUUAUUUAUUUCUGUUUUGUUGCGUAUUUCAGACAGUUGAUGAAUUGAUGAAUUAAAGAAUAGAAUGCUUGGGUUGUUGCCUAUGGCUUCCUCCUUCUCCCCUUUCCCCUGAUUUCUACUUCUUCU
rnacentral:lncRNA from 1 species